GACUGCAGUGCUCCUGUACGAGAUCCUACUUCCGAAGCUGUGGUAGUCUUGUAUCCUGUCUGCUGCAGAACUGUCCGGUGUAUGCGUAUAUACGGUAGCUGACUAGCUGCAGACUGUGGGUGGAUGGAGCUCGAUCCUUGGGCAGGCAUGGUAGCUGACUAGCUCCGAGGCACUGUGCUUGUGGGCGAACGCCUUAACCAGCUUUUGAAUCAGUAUUUCGUAUGAGCUCCGGCGAUGUGUUCUUUCUA
rnacentral:lncRNA from 1 species